GGAGAUUGUGCCAAAGUCACUAGACCCAAGAAGAAGCAUGGCACUUUGAUCCCUGGAAUAUUUUGUAUUCUUUGUCCCCACGGUAUAUGUUAUGGAUUCGAAAUAAUGAGGGAUCACGAAUCACCAAAUAUCCCAUUUACCAUUUUACGAACACGUUUUCCUGAUGCGCCAGAGUUGGUCAUUUACGAUAAUGCCUGCAGAUUGCACGAGUAUUGUUUGAACCGAGAUCCAGCAUUUUUUAAGAAAACAAAAUUUGUUGUUGAUAAGUUUCAUU